UACAGAGGAUGCAAGCGUUAUCCGGAAUGAUUGGGCGUAAAGCGUCUGUAGGUGGCUUUUUAAGUCCGCCGUCAAAUCCCAGGGCUCAACUCUGGACAGGCGGUGGAAACUAUCAAGCUGGAGUACGGUAGGGGCAGAGGGAAUUUCCGGUGGAGCGGUGAAAUGCGUAGAUAUGCGGAGGAACACCGAUGGCGAAGGCAAUCCCCUGGACCUGUACUGACGCUCAUGACACGA
rnacentral:rRNA from 1 species